GACGAACGCUGGCGGCGUGCUUAACACAUGCAAGUCGAACGGAAAGGCCCUUCGGGGUACUCGAGUGGCGAGCGGGUGAGUAACACGUGGGUGAUCUGCCCUGCACUUUGGGAUAAGCCUGGGAAACUGGGUCUAAUACCGGAUAGGACCACGGCAUUCAUGUGCUGUGGUGGAAAGCUUUUGCGGUGUGGGAUGGGCCCGCGGCCUAUCAGCUUGUUGGUGGGGUAAUGGCCUACCAAGGCGACGACGGGUAGCCGGCCUGAGAGGGUGACCGGCCACACUGGGACUGAGAUACGGCCCAGACUCCUACGGGAGGCAGCAGUGGGGAAUAUUGCACAAUGGGCGCAAGCCUGAUGCAGCGACGCCGCGUGAGGGAUGACGGCCUUCGGGUUGUAAACCUCUUUCGCCAGGGACGAAGCGCAAGUGACGGUACCUGGAGAAGAAGGACCGGCCAACUACGUG
rnacentral:rRNA from 1 species